AUUGAACGCUGGCGGCAUGCUUUACACAUGCAAGUCGAACGGUAACAGGCCUUCGGGUGCUGACGAGUGGCGAACGGGUGAGUAAUGCAUCGGAACGUACCCAGAGGUGGGGGAUAACGCAGCGAAAGCUGUGCUAAUACCGCAUGUGAUCUGAGGAUGAAAGCGGGGAACCGCGCAGCAAUGUUUGGCCUCGCGCCUUUGGAGCGGCCGAUGUCGGAUUAGCUAGUUGGUGGGGUAAAGGCCUACCAAGGCGACGAUCCGUAGCUGGUCUGAGAGGACGAACAGACACACUGGGACUGAGAAACGGCCCAGACUCCUACGGGAGGCAGCAGUGGGGAAUUUUGGACAAUGGGCGCAAGCCUGAUCCAGCAAUGCCGCGUGCGGGAAGAAGGCCUUCGGGUUGUAAACCGCUUUUGGCAGGAACGAAACGGUGUCCGCUAAUACCGGGCGCUAAUGACGGUACCUGCAGAAUAAGCACCGGCUAACUACGUG
rnacentral:rRNA from 1 species